rnacentral:misc_RNA from 1 species
GAUGAAGAACGCAGCGAAAUGCGAUACGUAAUGUGAAUUGCAGAAUUCAGUGAAUCAUCGAGUCUUUGAACGCACAUUGCGCCCCCUGGUAUUCCGGGGGGCAUGCCUGUCCGAGCGUCAUUACAACCCUCAAGCUCAGCUUGGUAUUGGGCCCCGCCGACCCGGCGGGCCCUAAAGUCAGUGGCGGUGCCGUCCGGCUCCGAGCGUAGUAAUUCUUCUCGCUCUGGAGGUCCGGUCGUGUGCUCGCCAGCAACCCCCAAUUUUUUUCAGGUUGACCUCGGAUCAGGUAGGGAUACCCGCUGAACUUAAGCAUAUCAAUAAGCGGAGGA